CCACGUUUUCACUCAUAUAAACGUUUUGUCUUCUCAUUAUUAUUCUUCUCCCGUAUCAUCGAUCGUGUCCUGCAAUUUGUCAUGGCUUAUGAGAUUUUUCAUUUUUUUUUUUUUUUUUUUUUGCAUUCUUCGACAUUGCACCUGUUAUUAGGACUUUGUAUGCUGCCCAGUAAUCUGAGAUUUUGCUGCUGAAGAAUUCAAAUUGCCUCCUCAAACCAGUGCCAUAGUCAAUAUAAAACGGUAUUCACUCAUUUUCUUAGUUUUUAUUUGUUUCUUUCUGAUAUUAUUGAACUGAUUUUUUUUGAAUCAUUGUGAAUCUUUUAUUGGAAUUUGUUAAAUCGGACUUUUUAAUGCUUAUUAUUCAUGUAGUAGAUGGCGUGUGAAUUAAUCCCAACAAAGAGCGCAGGUAUUUUAGAUUUUCUUUUGUAAUUUCAGUUUUAUUUUUCUAUUUUCAUUGUUGUGUAUUGCUUCUUACUACACUGAGACAGGGAAGAUGAUGUUUGUGAUUAGAGACUCGACAUUGUUUGUUGGCUAUUGGAAAAAUUCCAUGGGUUUCUAC
rnacentral:lncRNA from 1 species